CCGAUAGAUCGUGAGCGAACCCAACCAUUGGCUCCUAGAUGAACCCACGGGGCCCAACUUUUCCUGCUGCAUGAACGUGAGAUCGUCUGGCCCUGCGGUCCUGCCGUCCUGGUGGACUCCUACCAGCCAUGCCGUCUUCCUUGGCCGGCGCGGCGGCGCCUAUCGGCGGCCGCGUUGCGGGGCUGUCCUGAUGGAGACGUCAAUCCCCACCCGAGAGUUCAUGGAUCGCCGAUAAUGAAUGCCUCAUGGCUGCAGAGGCUGGUGACGUCGACUCUGCGAGGUGCUCCUCUGCCGAGUUAUCCAAACAAUGCCCAUUUGAAGGAGCUGGAGAAGGCCCCAGAGAAUCUGUAUCUGUUCAAGGCUGACGAGCCAGACCACGACACGCUAACAGCUGCAGUUGAGGGAUGCGAGGGGAUCUUCCAUCUCGCCACUCCGGCGGUGCCUGAAGAUAAGAUUGUUGAUCCUGAGUCAGAAGUACUAGAAACUGCCGUGAAAGGUACCUUAAUGUGCUAAAGAUCUGCUCCGAUGCGAAGGUUCAAAAACUUGUUGGGAUAUCCUCCAACGCUCCUGUGGGUUUUAAACCGAAUUGGCCUCAGGAUAACUCAAAGAUCAGAGUUGCUGGUCAGACAAGGAAUUAUGCAAGGAAAUUGGGGUUAUUCCAGUCAUAUGUCCCUUGAAAGGACUCUUGUGAUUUUUUUCCCUUAACAUAAGCUAGUUUUUCCUAGGGGUGACUUACCCACAGAGCACUAAGGUGUUGUUUGGUUCACAAAUAGUAACAUAAAUGAUAAUGAUUUAUACUCGAGUACCGGCGGUAACAAAUUUGAAUAGGCCGGUAUCAACUUUUAGUGUGGUAUCUGAUUAUGAUUGCACUAAAACAAAUAUGAUUUAACGUUAUCAGUUACCUAUUACGUUACAAAUAUGUGAACCAAACGACACCUAAAUCAUAACCUUCUCUGCUGGCUACAGUGCCGCUAUAUGGGUGGGGCAAGGGUUUUCUCGACUCGUGUGGGAAGGUCUUCUUUUUAAUACAAUAUCUGGGACUGUCUUA